rnacentral:rRNA from 1 species
UACGGGGGGAGCAAGCGUUGUUCGGAUUUACUGGGCGUAAAGGGCGCGUAGGCGGCCACCGCAAGUCGACUGUGAAAUCUCCGGGCUUAACCCGGAAAGGUCAGCCGAUACUGCGGGGCUAGAGUGCAGAAGGGGCAACUGGAAUUCUCGGUGUAGCGGUGAAAUGCGUAGAUAUCGAGAGGAACACCGGUGGCGAAGGCGGCAUCCUGGACCGGCAUUGACGCUGAGGCGCGAAAGCCAGGGGAGCAAACGGG